UCGAUAGCUCUGCUGCUAAAGCAUGAGACUCUUAAUCUCAGGGUUGUGGGUUCAAUCCGCACGUUGCGCAA